AGUGUUUAAUUAAGUAACAAUAUUCUCUUUCCAUCUCAAAUGAUCUGUGUUUUAUUCUUAUUCUACCUCGUGAAAAACACAGAUAAUUUGAGAUGGAAAAAGGAUCUAAUACUUGAUAUAAAUGCAAACUUGGCAUCAAGAACUUGAGUGUCCAAUAGGCAUCAGUCCACAGAGCCUAAUGACCUUAGGCUGAGGCAACACUCAAAGAAUAUAUCCCAAAACCAACACAACCAAAUAUUAUAGUCUCCCUCUCUGUCUCUAUUUCAUGACACUAUAGAAUUUUCAAGUGAGAAAUGGAUUGUUUUUAUCCAAAAAGAAGAGGUCCAGAGUGGAAACGAGGAUUGACAGGCACAGGCCAAACCCUAAGCUCUGUCUCUCCUCCACCAAUUCAAUUGCUCAUCAUUUUUGGCAUUGUCAUUGUGUUGCUAUGGUUUUCUCAGUUCAAUGCUGGCCAUGAAGCUCAAUUGAAUAGAAGUUUUCAGCUGUUUCUUUUCUUGUUGCCCAUCUUCGUUAUUUUCUUCAUGUAUUCAUAUUCCUCCAGUCGACUUAUCAACUUCGGAUUUCGCCGAUCACCAACCGGGUUGGCUCAACGAGGUGCCUCGCCUUGGACUAUUGCCAUUUUGGUCCUUCUCAUUCUGGUUUUGCUUUAUUAUCAAUCCUCAUUCCAUUGAAAGCAGACUAAUCUUACAAAGCUUGUGAUAUGCAUGGUAUGAGUAUUAAUUUUCAACCUCAUGGUGGGGUUUUUUAACGUAUGAAUAAUGUCAUAAUAAUUUUAAAUUAAAAUUUUUUUCUCUAGAUAGUGUUUGCUAUUAUAUCCUUAAACUUUCAAUUACAAAAAUUGAGUUAUUAAACUUAGACCUUCAAACAUACAUACGGUAGAAUUUAUAUUUUAUAACCAUUUGUUCGAGUUUAACGGUUUAAUUUUCAUCAUAUAUGAAAGUUUAAUUUUUAAACUAUCGUAAUUUUUUAAAAAAUUCCUAAUAAAAUCAAUUAUUUUAAGGUAAAAUUAUGUUACAUAUGAAUGAUAGAAAAUGUAAAAUAAAUAAAUCUAUAUACCCAUCUCAAAUCAAAGGUAUGGAGGACUAAAUCCGUUAACUAUGUUAAGAUAGAUUAAUGCAAUAAGACAUUUGUGAGAUAUUUGUUAUCAUUCCCCAUAUGCAGAUAUAUAUAACUCAAUAUGCAGAUAUAUAUAACUCAACAUGAAGAUAUAUAUAUUUCCAAACGAAAAGAGAAGUAUUCAUUUAAUCAAGUUGUGAUAUUUAGAGUUUCCAAUGGUGCAUUAAUAGGAAGAAACUUUCUAGGAACCACUCAAACGUUACCAACAUAUCCAUUAUUUUAAUGUCCAAUUGACUCUAUUGUCCAUCCACCACCCACCUUUUUUCUAUUUAAUUUUCUUUUAUUGUUAUUUCUCAUACCAACUUUUCUUUCUUGACUGUGACUGAAUUGACUCAUUGUCAAUUAGCUUCAAUAUCAAGUUUUAAUUCAACCUCAUUCUCCAAAACAAAAUGAUAAAAUUAUUGUAUAUAAUAUAAAUAAUUAAAUUUGAGUUUAAGUUUUUUAUCAAUUGAUGAUUUAAUUAAUAACACAAUUAUUUUAAUAUAUAGUUUUUGUGCAAAGGUACAAGUUGAUGGACAUUGAAGUACUUUAAUUAUGUAUACAAAUCCUAAUUCGAUUUUAUUUUAAGAAUUGAGUCCUAAGUACUUAAUUUUUUAAUUUUUCCUUGGUAUAUAUAAUCAACUAGAACAAAUUGCUUAUUUAAAUUAUCCAUAAUUAUUUUGUUAUAAACUUCUUUAUUUAGUUUUUUUUAACCCUCACAAAUUUCAAAUUUCUAUGAUCUUAGUUUUCCAUUACAACUAUUUUUCUUCAACUUUCUCAUUCUAACUUUGUCACAACUUUACCAUUCCAACUUUGUCACGACAGGGUUGUUUUCGGAGAAAUAAUCUUUAACAAAUAAACUUUAACAUAAAAAGAUCCACUAUUUUAAAUAAUUCAUUUUUCUAGAAGUCGAUAUAAUUAUUUUUGAGAGAUCGACGUAGAAUUACCUUCUUUUAAAAAUGUUUCAUAUAACUUAGAAGUGAGGGAAUUGAACUCAUAAUUUAUGUACAUAAAUGUUUCAUCUAACAAUUUAGAUGUAAAGGAAUUGAGCAUUGAACAGAGUACUUCAGGAACAUACCGUGCCAAUUGAGUUGAACUCAUACUGAAAAUGGUUCGCCAAGACGGAUUAUAGCCUUGUUACUUGACUUAGUUCAAAUCCAACAAACUUCAAUGUCUAAAAGUUGAAUGAUUAUCCCCAAAUCACAAAAAAUUACGCUUCACAUGUAAUCUAAGAACAAACAAACAAACACACAUCGCCAUAAUUCAAUUUCAUAUACACCUUAUUCAAUCCUUACCGUCACAUAAAUGGAUCAUAAUCCUUUUAACACGAUUAUCACAAUCUCAUCCUCUUUAUAAUUUACAC